GCCGAAGCCCGUAACCUCCAGUUCCCCGCAGCUUGAGGCCACCAGCGCCUGGAGAUUUUCAAACACACUCAAAGAGCUGGGAGGAGCCUGGCGGGGCCACGAAGGAGGGCAGUACUGACUCAUCACGAACCUCCAGGGCCCGGAGCCAGGGCGGCCUGGGCCCAGAGCCUCAGUCCCCUGCAGCCAGGUCAGCAGGAAACUGUCCCCCAAGCCCUCCUGCGCCAAAGAGAGGGCCUUUGGAAGGUGCUUGGAUGGUGGGGGCCACAGCCCAGUGUGCUGUUAGGAGGUGGGAACAAGGCCCCACUGGGGGCCUCCCUCCCCCGCUCCUCCCUUCCCACUCUGCUUCUGGCCUCGAGAGCUCCUUUGCCUCCGCCCUGCCCCUGUGCCAGCCUCCUUCUCCCUGGAGACCCGCAGCGCAAACCCCUGGCUGAAACCGUGAACCAAAAUAAGCCUCCCCUCCUUUAAGCAUGGGAUAUUGUGUCCCAGUGACCAGGACAGUGACUGAGGAACCCAAAGGGACAUCUGGUGACAUCUGAAUCAGUGAGCACUUUAGUCACUGGUACUGAACCUGUCUUUUUGCUGAGGUGCUGACGGUGGGCAGGCGCUGUACCCUCAGCCACAUCCGCAGCCGCACAACCAGGAUCGCCUCGUGUUUACAAAUGUACGGCGGCUGUGCCAACAGUAGGGGGAGCUGGCGGGCGAAUACAUGGGAACUCUAUUUUCAAUCUGUCAAUCUAAUAUCAUCCUUCCCCCAGAGCUUAUUAACAGUCAGAGCUGGGAAGGCAGAGGAGUGGAAAGAAAAAGGCAGAAAUGGAGAGGAUGUGGAGAAAUUGGAAACCCGGGUCUUGCUGGUGGGAAUGUAAAAUAGUGCAGCUGCUAUGCAAAAUACUUUGGCAGUUUCCCAAGAAAUUACACACGAAUGGUCCAGCAUUGCGCUUCUAGGUGUAUGUCGAAAGGAACUGAAAGCAGGGACUUGCACAGAUAUUUGAACGCAAUGUACAUAGCAGCAUUAUUCACAACAGCCAAAAGAAGGAAGCAACCCAGGAACCCAUCAGCACACGGCGGAUAAAGGAAAUGUAAUAUACAUAUCAUGGAGUAUCGGCCUUCAAAAGGACUGAGAUUUUGACAUGGAGAGUUCUUAAAGACAUUAUGCUAAGUGAAAUAUGCUAAUGUGAAGGGUUACAGGAACUACUCCAAGGAGAUGCUGGGAAGUAGCCUGGGAAUGGCCAUCCCUCUCCCAUCAUUUCUCUUCCCUCAAUCCUGCUUCAGCUUCUGUCAGCCUGUGAAGGUCCUGCAGAGUGAGGUUAAGCCUUCCACAGUUCUGAGAUUACAAGCAUGCACCGCCAUGCCCAGCUGGAGCCCACCUUUGUGCACAUCCUUGCCACACACCCUGCUGCGCCUGAUGGUCUUCUGGGAUGUUUACAACGCCGAUCACUUUAUGAAUAUGAAUCCUCUGUCCUCAUCAAGACUGUGCCUGCCUAAAGAAGACAGUUUGGUGGAAGUAGCUUCCCAUACUUCCUGUGGGACCUGGGGUUACUUAGCGCUGUUGAGUCUGGCAAUAACCAGUGUUUGUACCAAUGUCCUCCACUGUGAGCGGGGGUCCCUAAACAAUACCCUCCAGAGUGAGAAUUAUACCCUAGACUUCUCUAUUCCUCACUGAACCCAGGAGGGGAUCGCACCUGACUGACCAUCUCAAAAAAGAACCAGAACAAUCUCCUUGUGCUUUCCCUGAGCUGGUGAAGCUGGUAAAAAUCACUGAAAAUGAGGAAAGUAAAUUAACACAAGGAAGAAGCAGGACAAGGGGGAUUCUGUCCUCCUGACUACUGAGUUAACUGCAAUGAAAACAAAGUACAAAGGACUGCUAGUUCUGUGCAUAUAUUUACAUAGAAAUGUGCAAUUUUUUUUAAAAGGGGCCUUCCUGGUGUUUCUUUACUUAUGGGUUUAAUUUUUUAUCUCCUCAAUGUCCACCAGGAGGGCUCUGUUAAUAUUUACGUCGUGGGCCUUCCUGAGGAUGAGUUCAUUUCAGUCAUUGCUAAUCAACAGCCUUACUAUGAUGUCUUCUUUAUCCUGUAACAUUCCUAUUAUCCCUAACUCUUCAAAAAUACUCUUAGGAUAUUUUAGCAAGUGCCCUCUUCACCUUUUAAAGAGUUGUCUCCAGAUUGUUCAUAUUUGAAUAGCAUUUUAAAAACAAAUAUCAAUUGCC
ensembl:lncRNA